CGUAGGGUGCGAGCGUUAAUCGGAAUUACUGGGCGUAAAGCGUGCGCAGGCUGUUUUGUAAGUCAGAUGUGAAAUCCCUGGGCUCAACCUAGGAACUGCGUUUGAAACUACAAGGCUAGAGUGUAGCAGAGGGGGGUAGAAUUCCACGUGUAGCAGUGAAAUGCGUAGAGAUGUGGAGGAAUACCAAUGGCGAAGGCAGCCCCCUGGGUUAACACUGACGCUCAUGCACGAAAGCGUGGGAGCAAACAGGAUU
rnacentral:rRNA from 1 species